AAAUGACUCUCGGCAACGGAUAUCUCGGCUCUCGCAUCGAUGAAGAACGUAGCGAAAUGCGAUACUUGGUGUGAAUUGCAGAAUCCCGUGAACCAUCGAGUUUUUGAACGCAAGUUGCGCCCAAAGCCAUUAGGCUGAGGGCACGUCCGCCUGGGUGU
rnacentral:rRNA from 1 species